GCUUGRCUGUAAUUUGGAAUUGGRUUYGGGCUUUUUUUGCGCAGUCUAGGUGGGAGGCGUUGAUAUUAAGUUUUCGGAUUUAAUGGAGCCANUUAGUGAGAGACCACUCUAAAAGAGCUAGAAUUCUAAUAGGAUUCNCUUGAAUCAGGAUCCUUGACAGUUUCAGAUGGACAGUUUGACUGGGGCGGUGACCUCCCAAAAGGUAACGGAGGUGUGCAAAGGUUCCCUCAAGCUGGACGGAAAUCAGCUGUAGAGUGCAAAGGUAUAAGGGAGCUUGACUGCAAGACCAACAAGUCGAGCAGAGGCGAAAGCCGGCCUUAGUGAUCCGACGGUUCCGAGUGGAAGGGCCGUCGCUCAACGGAUAAAAGUUA
rnacentral:rRNA from 1 species